GGGCCUAAUUAUAGGGUCCAUUUGAAUUUUGGGCUGGGCUCGAAUAUAUCUUUGGCCCAGUCCAGGCUCGGCCCGAGAGUAGGUCCGAUACUGCCGGCUUGCAACUAAUCUAAAAUCAGUGGUGCUUUAUUCAUAAAGAUGCUAUGAUGACUGCCUCUGUGGGUGCACCUAAAGAGUCUAGAGAGAAAUGGAGGUGAGGCAUUUCUGUUCUUGUUGUUGUAGUUGCAGAAAAAGCUUGGACGGUCUGUUAUAUCACAAGCAACCACUUGCAACCAC
rnacentral:lncRNA from 1 species